CAAACAGACUGGAGGCGAAUCACAUUACUGAAUAUCAAUCCGCCCGUUUGACAACCUACUACUCUUCUGUGCCUGCGGAUGCGCUCGAGAUCAUCAAAAGAUGCCUGUGAUUAUUGGUGUCUAAUAUUGAAUUAUGCUGCUGUAUCUAUUCAUGUCGAUACUGUCUAGAAAACAAACAGCCUAGCUUGCGUACAGCACUCGACACAAUGAGGAACCACCAAAUGCACUAAGAUCUAUAGUCUAUAUAAAGGCGGAAGGAUACAGCCGGGUGCCGUGUCAUGCAAGCGCUGUCCCGAAGUUGUGCUACGGCCGUGACGUCACGAAAGUUGGCUCCACUCUGUCUGGCUUUUAAAACUUCAGCAGUUCAACAACCAAUAGUGACAGGCAUCUUCACAGAUUUUGUUCACGCAAGGGUCGGCCUUUCACAAGCUGUGAGUUUUAUGGAUACUGGAAACCUGGUUCCACAAUCUGUUCUCGCUGGGUGUCCUGCAAGUGAUAUAAGAGAGCCAUUGUGGGGCGAGCCCACACAGCAAAAGGCCAAAUCAGAGGGCAGCAUACGCAGAGCAGGUCAUGUGUGUUGUCAAAGUCAUCCACCCAGAUCCCAAAACAUCUGCGUCUGUCUGUAAGCACCGAAGAAGCACUCACUCUCUUCGGUUUCAGAAAUCUAAACAGUUCGUCUCUUUUACGUCGCUGCCUUUUUCUGAACGAGCGCUGAAGCUUGGCCGGGUUUUGUUACUGUAAGCCUUUCCAUCAAUGAAAACUCGCUCUGUCACUCCAGCUAAAAGAGAACAGCUGCACGCAAUACAAAGAUUUAAUAUGAAACUUAUGACUAGCGUGAAAUGACUGCCCUAAAUUCCAUUUAUGUUUGAUUGCGGCUCUGACUUCAUUGUGCAAGUUUCAAGCUGCCAGACGCCGGUAUUUUUGCUCCGCGUAGACCAGCAUGCUUUAAAAAGUGGAGUGUGUACAAUGGUUGGGUUUAAACAGUCAUCUAUAAUGCUUGGUCCUACCCUUAAAGGAAAAGUACACCCAAAAAAGAAAAUUCAUCAGAUCAUUUUGCAUUAAUGGAUGCUAUGCAGUGAAUGGGUGCCGUCAGAAUUAGUCUAACAUCAAAACACACUGACGUAUUUGUUUAAAACGGUUAAGGACCGGUUUUGCUUGCGAACAGUGUUUUAUCUGUGCAUAUUUCGCUCCCGAUUCACACGAGAUGGCUUAUAUUAUGCAAAUGUGAAGAACAGAGGAAGCAAACGUUGGUGGAUCGGAUCACUUGCGAAUUACUGCGGCACAUUUGAUUUUUUUUCUUUUAAAAAAGGUGCAACCUAACGAAGACCUAAUUGUAUAUCUUUCAUCUGAAUACAGUAAAUGUAGAUAUAUGACUGCAUGAAGCACAUUUCUGAUACACAGAGAGUGAAAAACCACAUUAUAUUGAGCCAUUAACGGCCGCACAUGUGUUUCCCAUUAGAAAGGUCCUCCACAGACAAAGAUAUCCCACAAUAGCCAUGUGUAGGUGUGCUGGAGACCGCUUUCGAUAAAACGUACGAGAUUUACGCAUCUUGGUUCAAAGCAGGCCGGAAAUCGCCAUCAAUAAUGCCAGAUAUAACAACGAUUUACCAAAUCUGAUAAUCUGAUUUCAAUUUAGAGGGUCGGAAUAGUAGACGAGGAAAAAAAAAGUCUGAAUGCUCUGGAUUAAAACCAAACGGAAACAGACAUCGCAUUAUUUCUAAAGGUCUCAGACAGGUCUCCUACAGUGUAACUCUGAAUGUAAUACAGAUGUAGACUUAUUAGACCUGACAUUUGUUUUCCGUGCAGUGCCGUAAUGGCGUGGAUGAACGCGGUUCAGCGAGAGGAGAUGAGUAUCCUCAAUAUUUUUCAGCACAUUGACCUUUUGGUUGCUACGUGCCUACUGUAACAAUAACUUAAGCAGCGUUUUUCCGGCAGGUUCCGGUAGCACUAGACCCCACUGCCCUCCGCGACACCAAACAGGCCGCUCUGGGAGCUAAAUGCUGCUGGAAUGUUUCUUCGGGCUGCCAGCUGAGAAAGGGUACUGCGCACAUAUGUUUCCUACUCCGGCUCUGUUGGGCAGCUUUGAGACAUCCCAUCCCAUCCCAUCCCAUCCCAGGAGCGCCGCAGGGGACGCCAGCGCUGUUUACCGUCCUCAAAUGUUUCCAGAGCGUACAUAACAAGCGCAGUAAAGCAAAAUGGCAGGUUUAAACAACAGGCACCUUUCCUUUUAAAGCCGUUACGGGAGCUACAGAGGCCUCGAUUUGAUUCCGGUGGCCGGGCGGGAUCCAAACACGGCGCGUCUGCUCUGAACGGGGGGCGAACAAUGCUGAAUGUAAAUAACAAAACGCAAUUAACCACAUCGUUGUGAGUUGAGGAUGACAAAUUAAGUAGGUUUUACAACUUCUAAAGACCCCAUGAAAUUAAAAUAUUUUUUUAUUGCUUUUAUUAUAUGAGAAUUGGCUUUAAGGUACAUUUAAGUGUACUUGAAGAACAGAAAGUAGCAAAAUUAACAUUUCUAUCUGGGAAAACAGAGCAAAAUACUGCACUAUACAACGAUGACCAUGGAUAAAUUGUUUAUUUAUCCUAUUCAAGUAAUGUUAAGUAAAUAUUACUAUCUAAGGCACUUUUUAUUUCCUCUGUACAAAAACGUUUUGCUAUUAGCAGUUAUUUUUGCUAUUUAGCAGUUUUGCUACUGUGUUGGAUUUGAAGGGGUCCUGGAGCACUUCCGGGUCCUGAAGCGCAACAAACUGCCCUACAACAACGCCUGGCUGUCCGUGGUUUUCAGUGUUGUUUACAUAUCUGUCUGUCUUUUUAAUAUACAAUAGACAAACCAUUCAUCAGUCAACGCAUCUGCUGAGCGUUGUCUCUUUAAAACUGCAGUGAACUGAUUCAAAUGAUUCGCUACGCGCUCCGAAGUCAAAAUCUACAUAAAAAGAUUCACAAACCCGCUUAAAGGGAGGGUUGACUGUUUUUUUCUAGGCUUUAUUGUAUUUAUGGGGUGCAGUCUAACGUGUGUUAAUGCUCUGUUUAAUAAAAACGCAUUAUUGUUCACAUAAUUUGCCUUUAUUCAACAUCGCUCUGUUCCUUCUCUAAAAGACGCGAGGAUCAUUUCCUGUUUUAUGAAGCCCCGCCCUAAACUGCGCCAUGGGCUCUGAUUGGUUAGAUAAUCUAGUAUGCAC